CUGAGCCACAGGCUGAAGAGUGGGGAGUAAACUAGGGGAAAGAACAGCAACAAUUGUGUUGGAGAUCUGGGGAGACUGAAGGAGUGGAGUGGUGGGUUGUUUUAUGGGGAAGUCAAAGUUAAGGCUGGCCAGCUGAUGGUAACUGCAUGGAGGGCGAUGUUGAGAUGCAAGAAAGACUUUGACGUGAGCCUACAAUACACCUGGAAGGAUCCCACACCCAGAUGGGUAACAUCAGUCAAUGCUCAGCCCACCGGUUGCUGGGAUAUUGGGUCAGCCAGCCCUGGUUCCCUUCAGAUCACGUGAGCAUGGAACAGUCUGACCCACCUGGCAUCAAGUCCAUCACCCGCUUGAAUGUACACAUGAAACCUUCACGAGCAGCAAACAGGCUCCUAGCAACAGAAACCAGCACAGACCGGCAGCUUUGCUGGCACAGCUCCGAGAAGGCUGUGAGUUCAUCUUUCCAGGCAACUACAGCUCCCAGCAGACAGCUCGUCUCAUUGCAAGGGAGCCCUCAUGGGAAGGAUUUCAGGAGGAAGGACUCCACUGCAU
ensembl:lncRNA